rnacentral:rRNA from 1 species
UGCGGAGGAAAAGAAACCAACCGGGAUUGCCUUAGUAACGGCGAGUGAAGCGGCAAAAGCUCAAAUUUGAAAUCUGGUACCUUCGGUGCCCGAGUUGUAAUUUGGAGAGGGCAACUUUGGGGCCGUUCCUUGUCUAUGUUCCUUGGAACAGGACGUCAUAGAGGGUGAGAAUCCCGUGUGGCGAGGAGUGCGGUUCUUUGUAAAGUGCCUUCGAAGAGUCGAGUUGUUUGGGAAUGCAGCUCUAAGUGGGUGGUAAAUUCCAUCUAAAGCUAAAUAUUGGCGAGAGACCGAUAGCGAACAAGUACAGUGAUGGAAAGAUGAAAAGAACUUUGAAAAGAGAGUGAAAAAGUACGUGAAAUUGUUGAAAGGGAAGGGCAUUUGAUCAGACAUGGUGUUUUGUGCCCUCUGCUCCUUGUGGGUAGGGGAAUCUCGCAUUUCACUGGGCCAGCAUCAGUUUUGGUGGCAGGAUAAAUCCAUAGGAAUGUAGCUUGCCUCGGUAAGUAUUAUAGCCUGUGGGAAUACUGCCAGCUGGGACUGAGGACUGCGACGUAAGUCAAGGAUGCUGGCAUAAUGGUUAUAUGCCGCCCGUCUGA